AGAGAGAGAGAGAGAGAGAGAGAGAGAGAGACAGAGAGAGAGAGACAGAGAGAGACAGAGAGAGAGAGAGAGAGAGAGAGAGAGGCAGAGAGGCAGAGAGAGAGAGGCAGAGAGAGAGAGGCAGAGAGAGAGGCAGAGAGAGAGAGGCAGAGAGUACAUUAAAUAUUCUAUUUUUUUGAGUUCUAAUUAACUUGCUAUCCGAUUGCAGUUUGAAAUUUAUAGCUUAAGUUAACUGGGACGACUUGUACACUCCUCGAAAUCACCCCUCCCGACCCUCCCCAUUUCCUUCCUUGACAACCGCCCAUUUUUCAAAACAGCCGCCUACUUUUUCGACACAGCCGCCUACUCAAAAUAAUUCUGAAAGCCCUGCAGUAUACCUGUAAUUUCCAAUGUUACCAUGCGAUUGCCGCACUGGCCUAUCGCGGUGCAACUCUAAUUAUAUUGCCUAUAAC